rnacentral:rRNA from 1 species
GAUGAACGCUGGCGGCGUGCCUAAUACAUGCAAGUAGAACGCUGAAGGAGGAGCUUGCUCUUUCCGGAUGAGUUGCGAACGGGUGAGUAACGCGUAGGUAACCUGCCUGGUAGCGGGGGAUAACUAUUGGAAACGAUAGCUAAUACCGCAUAACAGUAGAUAUUGCAUGAUAUUUGCUUGAAAGGGGCAAUUGCUCCACUACCAGAUGGACCUGCGUUGUAUUAGCUAGUUGGUGAGGUAACGGCUCACCAAGGCGACGAUACAUAGCCGACCUGAGAGGGUGAUCGGCCACACUGGGACGGAGACACGGCCCAGACUCCUACGGGAGGCAGCAGUAGGGAAUCUUCGGCAAUGGACGGAAGGCUGACCGAGCAACGCCGCGUGAGUGAAGAAGGUUUUCGGGUCGUAAAGCUCUGUUGUAAGAGAAGAACGAGUGUGAGAGUGGAAAGUUCACACUGUGACGGUAUCUUACCAGAAAGGGACGGCUAACUACGUG